rnacentral:rRNA from 1 species
AUGAAUGCCCUAUCAUGGAACUGCCGGGGGGAGGGGACCGCCACAGUUCGGGAGGUGUUGGCCCUCUCAAAAGCCAAUAACCCCAAGCUAGUCUUCCUUUGCGAGACUAGACAAAGUUCUUCGAGGAUUGAGAAGUUGCGAUGGAGGCUUGGCCUCAAAGGUUUCCAUGGUGUUGACAGUGACGGAAGAAGUGGAGGCUUAGCCCUUUUCUGGGAUGAGUCGUUGGCUGUGACAAUUUUGGAUUCAUGCGUUAGAUAUAUUGAUGUGAGGAUCACAGAGGGGAGCACCGGUUUGACUUGGAGGUGCACCUUUGUGUAUGGUGAACCGAGAGUGGAGAACAGGCACCGGAUGUGGGAUCAUCUUUGCAGGCUUCGUGCUAUUUCAACGAAACCAUGGAUGGUUUGUGGUGACUACAAUGAAGUCCUAUGGCAGCAUGAGCACCUAUCCCGAUCCAUGCGUGCUGAAUCACAAAUGGAGUCAUUCAGGGAUUGUCUGCAGGUGUGUGAGUUAGAGGACCUUGGUUUCUGCGGCUUUCCAAUUACAUACAGUAAUGGCCAAGCUCUAGGACGUCCAAGUCCCUUUGGACCGGGCAUGCGCGGACGAAGCUUGGCGGGACUUGUUUCCGACGGCGCGGGUAACCCACCUCGCAACGUCGUGCUCUGA